UACGAAGGGGGGCUAGCGUUGCUCGGAAUGACUGGGCGUAAAGGGCGCGUAGGCGGAUGGCACAGUCAGAUGUGAAAUUCCCCGGGCUUAACCUGGGGGCUGCAUUUGAUACGUGUGAUCUAGAGUGAGGAAGAGGGUCGUGGAAUUCCCAGUGUAGAGGUGAAAUUCGUAGAUAUUGGGAAGAACACCGGUGGCGAAGGCGGCGACCUGGUCCUUGACUGACGCUGAGGCGCGAAAGCGUGGGGAGCAAACAGG
rnacentral:rRNA from 1 species